GGGUAAACAUAUAAGGGAAAUGUCUUUUCGCUAGGGGAUGAGACUAUAUGAUAUCAGGUAGUUGGUAGGGUAAGAGCCUACCAAGCCAAUGACAUCUAGCUGGUCUGAGAGGAUGAUCAGUCACACUGGAACUGAGACACGGUCCAGACUCCUACGGGAGGCAGCAGUGGGGAAUAUUGCACAAUGGGGGAAACCCUGAUGCAGCAACGCCGCGUGGAGGAAGACGCAUUUCGGUGUGUAAACUCCUUUUAUAUAGGAAGAUAAUGACGGUACUAUAUGAAUAAGCACCGGCUAACUCCGUGCCAGCAGCCGCGGUAAUACGGAGGGUGCAAGCGUUACUCGGAAUCACUGGGCGUAAAGCGCAUGCAGGCGGGUUAAUAAGUUGGAAGUGAAAUCCUAUGGCUCAACCAUAGAACUGCUUCCAAAACUGUUAGUCUAGAGUCUGGGAGGGGAAGAUGGAAUUAGUUGUGUAGGGGUAAAAUCCGUAGAGAUAACUAGGAAUACCAAAAGCGAAGGCGAUCUUCUGGAACAGUACUGACGCUGAGAUGCGAAAGCGUGGGGAGCAAACAGGAUUAGAUACCCUGGUAGUCCACGCAGUAAACGAUGAAUGUUAGUCGUCGGGUUGCAAGUCAAUUCGGUGAUGCAGUUAACACAUUAAACAUUCCGCCUGGGGAGUACGGUCGCAAGAUUAAAACUCAAAGGAAUAGACGGGGACCCGCACAAGUGGUGGAGCAUGUGGUUUAAUUCGAAAAUACGCGAAGAAUCUUACCUAGCCUUGACAUUGAUAGAAUCUUCCAGAGAUGGAGGAGUGCCUUUCGGGGAACUUGAAAACAGGUGCUGCACGGCUGUCGUCAGCUCGUGUCGUGAGAUGUUGGGUUAAGUCCCGCAACGAGCGCAACCCUCGUCACUAGUUACUAACAGUUAGGCUGAGGACUCUAGUGAGACUGCCUUCGUAAGGAGGAGGAAGGUGAGGACGACGUCAAGUCAUCAUGGCCCUUACGGCUAGGGCGACACACGUGCUACAAUGGUUAUGACAAUGAGAGGCGAUACCGCGAGGUGGAGCAAAUCUAUAAACCUAAUCUCAGUUCGGAUUGUAGUCUGCAACUCGACUACAUGAAGCUGGAAUCACUAGUAAUCGUAGAUCAGCCAUGCUACGGUGAAUACGUUCCCGGGUCUUGUACUCACCGCCCGUCACACCAUGGGAGUUGAUUUCACCCGAAGCGGGGAAGCUAAACUGGCUACCCUCCACGGUGGAAUUAGCAACUGGGGUGAAGUCGUAACAAGGUA
rnacentral:rRNA from 1 species